rnacentral:rRNA from 1 species
UACGUAGGGGGCAAGCGUUGUCCGGAUUUAUUGGGCGUAAAGAGCGUGUAGGCGGCCAGGUAGUGGUUGGUGAAACUGGAGGCUCAACCUUCAGACGUCGACCCAAACCCCCUGGCUAGAGUCCGGAAGAGGAGAGUGGAAUUCCUGGUGUAGCGGUGAAAUGCGUAGAUAUCGUAAGGAAGACCAGUGGCGAAGGCGGGUCGUCUGGACAGUUCCUGACGCUGAGGCACGAAGGCCAGGGGAGCAAACGGGG